UACGUAGGGGGCAAGCGUUGUCCGGAUUUAUUGGGCGUAAAGAGCGUGUAGGCGGUUUGGUAGGUCCGUUGUGAAAACUCGAGGCUCAACCUCGAGACGCCGAUGGAAACCAUCAGACUAGAGUCCGGAAGAGGAGAGUGGAAUUCCUGGUGUAGCGGUGAAAUGCGCAGAUAUCAGGAAGAACACCCGUGGCUAAGGCGGCUCUCUAGUACGGUACUGACGCUGAGACGCGAAAGCGUGGGGAGCGAA
rnacentral:rRNA from 1 species